rnacentral:rRNA from 1 species
GACAUGUACGGAAGCCUUUAGAGAUAGAGGCGUGCUCGAAAGAGAGCCGUAACACAGGUGCUGCAUGGCUGUCGUCAGCUCGUGUCGUGAGGAUGUUGGGUUAAGUCCCGCAACGAGCGCAACCCUUGUCAUUAGUUGCUACAUUCAGUUGGGCACUCUAAUGAGACUGCCGGUGACAAGCCGGAGGAAGUGGGGAUGACGUCAAGUCCUCAUGGCCCUUAUAGGUGGGGCUACACACGUCAUACAAUGGCUGGUACAAAGGGUUGCCAACCCGCGAGGGGGAGCUAAUCCCAUAAAGCCAGUCGUAGUCCGGAUCGUAGUCUGCAACUCGACUACGUGAAGUCGGAAUCGCUAGUAAUCGUGGAUCAGAAUGUCACGGUGAAUACGUUCCCGGGUCUU